rnacentral:rRNA from 1 species
UAACGGCGAGUGAAGCGGCAACAGCCCAGAUUUGAAAUCUGGCCCUCGGGCCCGAAUUGUAAUCUGCAGAUGAGUCUUCCGGCAGAGCGCCGUCCAAGUGCCCUGGAACGGGCCGCCGGAGAGGGUGAGAGCCCCGUACCGACGUGCGCCGCGCCUCUGUGAAGCUCAUUCGAAGAGUCGAGUAGUUUGGAAAUGCUGCUCUAAUUGUGGGGUAAAUCUCCCAUAAGGCUAAAUACCGGCCAGAGACCGAUAGCGCACAAGUAGCGUGAGCGAAAGAUGAAAAGAGCCUUGAACAAGGGCGUCAAAAAGCAUGUGAAAUUGUUGUGGGGGAAGCGUUCGAUGCCAGACGUGGCGGCGGUUGGUUACCCGGCGUUCUUCGCCGGCGCACUCUGCCGUCGCCAGGCCAGCAUCAGUUCGGCUCGAGGCCCACCGCCGGCGGGAAUGUGGCUCCCCUCGGGGAGUGUUAUAGCCCGUCGGUACCGUCUCGGACCGGACUGAGGACCGCGCUUCGGCUCGGAUGCUGGCGUAAUGGCUUCUAGCGACCCGUCUUGAAACACGGACCAAGGAGUUGACCUAGCCUGCGAGUGUUUGGGUGUCAAGCCCUUACGCGCAGUGAAAGCGAAUGCAGGUGGGAGCCUCGGCGCACCAUCGACCGAUCCUGAAGUUUACGGAUGGAUUUGAGUAAGAGCAUGCUGGGUCUGACCCGAAAGAAGGUGAACUAUGCAUGAAUAGGGUGAAGCCAGAGGAAACUCUGGUGGAGGCUCGCAGCGGUUCUGACGUGCAAAUCGAUCGUC